UUCUGUGAUGCCUCUUAGAUGUUCUGGGCCGCACGCGCGCUACACUGAUCAAGUCAACGAGUUUACAACCUUGGCCGGAAGGUCUGGGUAAUCUUUUGAAACUUGAUCGUGCUGGGGAUAGUCCAUUGCAAUUAUUGGACUUCAACGAGGAAUUCCUAGUAAGCGUGAGUCAUCAGCUCGCGUUGAUUACGUCCCUGCCCUUUGUACACACCGCA
rnacentral:rRNA from 1 species